UCUGAUGUGAAAGCCCACGGCUCAACCGUGGAGGGUCAUUGGAAACUGGGGGACUUGAGUGCAGAAGAGGAAAGCGGAAUUCCACGUGUAGCGGUGAAAUGCGUAGAGAUGUGGAGGAACACCAGUGGCGAAGGCGGCUUUCUGGUCUGUAACUGACGCUGAGGCGCGAAAGCGUGGGGAGCAAACAGGAUUAGAUACCCUGGUAGUCCACGCCGUAAACGAUGAGUGCUAAGUGUUAGAGGGUUUCCGCCCUUUAGUGCUGCAGCUAACGC
rnacentral:rRNA from 1 species